rnacentral:rRNA from 1 species
AGCGAACGCUGGCGGCAGGCCUAACACCUGCAAGUCGAACAAAGUCUUCGGACUUAGUGGCGGACGGGUGAGUAACACGUGGGAACGUGCCUUUAGGUUCGGAAUAACUCAGGGAAACUUGUGCUAAUACCGAAUGUGCCCUUCGGGGGAAAGAUUUAUCGCCUUUAGAGCGGCCCGCGUCUGAUUAGCUAGUUGGUGAGGUAAAGGCUCACCAAGGCUACGAUCAGUAGCUGGUCUGAGAGGAUGACCAGCCACAUUGGGACUGAGACACGGCCCAAACCCCUACGGGAGGCAGCAGUGGGGAAUCUUGCGCAAUGGGCGAAAGCUUGACGCAGCCAUGCCGCGUGGAUGAUGAAGGUCUUAGGAUUGUAAAAUCCUUUCACCGGUGAAGAUAAUGACUGUAGCCGGAGAAGAAGCCCCGGCUAACUUCGUGCCAGCCGCCGCUGUAAAAC